ACGUACACUCCUGCGGGAGGCAGCAGUGGGGAAUUUUGGACAAUGGGCGAAAGCCUGAUCCAGCCAUGCCGCGUGCAGGAUGAAGGCCUUCGGGUUGUAAACUGCUUUUGUACGGAACGAAACGGCCUUUUCUAAUAAAGAGGGCUAAUGACGGUACCGUAAGAAUAAGCACCGGCUAACUACGUGCCAGCAGCCGCGGUAAUACGUAGGGUGCAAGCGUUAAUCGGAAUUACUGGGCGUAAAGCGUGCGCAGGCGGUUAUGUAAGACAGUUGUGAAAUCCCCGGGCUCAACCUGGGAACUGCAUCUGUGACUGCAUAGCUAGAGUACGGUAGAGGGGGAUGGAAUUCCGCGUGUAGCAGUGAAAUGCGUAGAUAUGCGGAGGAACACCGAUGGCGAAGGCAAUCCCCUGGACCUGUACUGACGCUCAUGCACGAAAGCGUGGGGAGCAAACAGGAUUAGAAACCCCGGUAGUCCCAUG
rnacentral:rRNA from 1 species